UUUUGGGGGAUUUUAUCAUUCCGAUUUCCGUCCCGAUCGUUUCCGACUCGGAUUCCGAACGCGGACCAAGCACCUCCUGGAUACCUGCCGAUCCCGGGAGCGCUCCGAACAGUUCGACGCGAAUGGCCUCUUCCGCCUUCUCUCCUUCUCCCUCUUUUCUUCCCUCCCUCUCUUCUCCCCGUCCUCACUGGCAUCCUGACUCUUGUCUUUCCUCCCUCUUUCGCCUGUCUUCACCCAAUCCAUCCCCUUGGCACCGGAGAUAUCUUGCCAUCGUCUCCUCUUCCACCACCAACGCCAGGGAGGCUUACGCAAGCAAAGAGACGAGGAAGAAGAUACUGGAAAGCUACGGCCUCGACCCGUCUGACUUCAUCUCGGAGCCCUCUCGAAGGUCGAGGAGGAAGAGGAGGGAUGCUGAUAAAGCAGGGAAGGGGCAGCAGGUUUAUCAGCCACCAGAGGUGUCGAAGCCUCCUCGUGCCACCCAUAAAUUACUGCAGGUGCUAGGGGGAAAAGCUCGCAGGAAAAAACUACUUUCUCCAAAAGGUAUGGACGUACGCCCAAUGAUGGAAGUUGUAAGAGGAGCAGCCUUUGAUAUUUUACAGGUAGCUGGUGGUUGUCCUGCUUCAUUAAAGCCAGGGCGCUGGUUAGACUUGUAUAGUGGCACUGGCUCUGUUGGAAUUGAAGCUAUAAGCCGGGGAUGUUCAGAGGUGCACUUUGUUGAGAUGGAUCCUUGGGUUGUUUCUGAAGUGUUGCAACCCAAUUUAGAGUGGACUGGAUUUCUUGAUGUUUCAGUAAUACAUACAGUCCGUGUAGAAAGUUUCUUGGAGCAAGCUGAACACUCCCUAGGUGAGGGCAGAUCAUUUGAUUAUAUCAGUGUCACACCUCCCUACACUUCAGUCAAUUAUAGUAUGCUGAUGGAGCAACUUGGAAAAUCACCUUUGGUUGGAGAAGACUGUUUCAUUCUGGUGGAGUAUCCCCUCAAAACCUCAAUGGCAAAUUCUUGUGGACAUCUAAUAAAGAUAGCUGAUAGGCGAUUUGGCAGGACAAACUUGCUAAUAUAUGGGCCAGCAUGGGCACAAAAGAAGAGAACCAAGAAGUCCUUUGCUUGACCCGAGUAAACUUCAUCUAAAUGUGCCUAGAAGAGGAUUUUGUAAAGCUUGUUAGCAAUUGAGAGAUGGUUGGGUACUUUAUGACUUGCUUAAUGCUUGGUGGAGCAUCAGAUGUGAAGCAUCAAGAGUCUUUGAAGAGAUGUUGUCACAACCUUCUAUCAAGCAAGCUUUACCUACACUCAAUUAUUUCAACCAUCUGCUAUCCUUUGCUUGGAUGUCGUCGUUCAAAAUUGUAUGUACUUUGUCAUACUUUUCUCUGGGGACUGGUAAUAUGUAUCGUGCUUACCAUUGUUGCAUGCUUUGGAUGGGUAUUGAGAAUGGAGUUUCAACAGGCAUAGCAUGCCUUUUGAACUGGCAAUUCUAUGAAUACCUAUUAGAAGCAUUAAAAAAAGAUCACCGUGAGAUGGCCCAGAUGGAGGAUGGCGCUCUUUCUGUGAGAGUGACGCUUUUUUUUUUCCUCCUCUUUUUUGCAUGUAAGCCUUUUUGUUACCUGUAAUUGCAUUUAAAGGCCUUUUAUAUAUUGGCAAAUCUAUAUCUUACUCUAGAA